AUGACUGACCCAGAUGCUAAUAAUAUCGGUGAAAGGACUCAGCGAGUCUCAAUGGGGAGGAAAUGACAUGGUCAUGUCAUUCAUACAACAUCACACCAGUGCCAUUCUGUGACACGAAGCCUCUGACAAACAUUUCGAUUUCAUCUAGAGACCACCAGAACAAACCGACCUAGUGGCUUCACAAGUUCAAGAAAGAAAUUCGUAAAGGCUUGGAAUGAGGUCUGCCCUCACCAGGACAAAAAGGAGACAACAGGUGAUAAACUAUGGGAAGGAAACUAAUCUGCAUCACAAAACAGAAUAUAGAGGCUGAUUUGUAUUACAUUCACACAAUGACAUGACGUCGUGUAGCAUAGACAAUGAUUUCAAGUAGAAAAUAUUCAGUGUAUAACUACAUCUAAAAGAUUCUUAUAAGUACAUGGAAUAGUUUAAAUUAUUAUGUUUUAAUAGUGUUCCAGUGCUUUGUUGUAGUAUUAGGUUGUGUUAAUGUGUAAUUAAUGUGUACUUGCCUUCUGUCUUCAGCUUUGAGCCUUCACGUUAUAUAAUUAUGUAUAUUGAAUUGUACAUAUCGACUUUGCUUGCUGUGCUGUUUGUAUUCUUGACCGACAGAGAAUCUUUACUCCUCAGGCAAUGUAUUUCCCAUGUUUGAACACCAGGAGGCAGGUUUGCAUUAGACAACAGCUAAACAACGUUGUAAAGAAUGCUUUUCAAAUAUUAUAAUAUUAUAUUAAUAUAUAAUAAUAAUAAUAAUAAUAAUAAUAAUACAAAGCUAAUAAUAAUAAUAAAAGCUAAAUAUAAGAAUGUAUCUUUAAAUUGCAAAUUCAUGGCCAUGUUCCAGUCAAAGUUCUGGGUAGGCAAUCUGUGCGUGUUGUAAUAAUAUGGGUACAUCAUUGGGAAUCAAUUUUGUGAUUGUCACACAAUUAUAUCGCAUUAACUUAUUAAUGUUCUGCAGAGUAGUUAAAAAUUCAAUCAAGUGACAGUUGAGCAAUAGAUGGGAGUCAAACACUUAUCAAUUACAUUGUUCUUGAAUGAAAUUUAAAACCUAGAGAAUCUUUCUCAUUAAUCAAGCUAUAUAAUAUCAAAAAUUAUUGUGAAAGAAUGCUUUGAUAAUAAUUGAAAAAUUAAUUGCUUGAUAUCUAUGGGGAAAUAACACUUAAUGACAUUGCAGUUGGAAUGAGAGCAAACUUUUUCGAAGUCCUCUUGACCGGAAUGCUGUUUUGAAACACACUUUUUUAUUUUGUGAUAGUUUCUUUCUGAAAGGUUCCGUCUCACACACGUGUAAUUAAUGUAAUGAAGAAAUCUGGCAAUGUAUGUCUCAUUUUGGAUCUAUUUGUGCAUCGGUUGUAUCUUCUCGUGCCGUUUCAAUACACUAUCCCUGCCGAAUCAGAAAAUAACAGAACAGAAAUGAGCAGAAAUGUUAUAACAAAUAAACACAGUUGAUGCAACUGUAACUAUUGGGACUAUGAAUCCAAAUCAGAUCCAGAUUAACCACAGCCCUCAGAGCACCACAGAAUAUGAGUUUCUGUCAGAAACAGAAUGAUUCAUGAGUUCAUUCUGUCUUCUAAAAUUAUCCCUCAAUAGCUAUUUAAUACUGUUUAUUUAUCACAAAAAGGAUCCCUGCAUGUAAAAUGUGUGCUGUAUCUAAUGUCUAUGCAUGGCUAAAAAUAUCUAAUGUGUAUGUAUGACAAAAAUAUCUAAUGUGUAUUUAUGGUUAACCUGUUUUAUUAAAUAGCUUUCUAAUACAAUAAACCCAACAGCUGUGGCCUGCUUCAAAAUUUUUACUUACUUCAGUCAAUUUAUCAAAUAGAGAGUCAAUGCAAAACACAGAAAAUCUGUGCAAGACCUGAAUUUAUUGACUUUCACUUAAUAAAGAUUAUGGAUCUCAUCAAAGAGCCUUUAGCCAUCAGCGCCACAGAAAAAGCGGCAAAUUAAUAUCAGAUGUGAUAUUUCAAUAAAUGGAUCUGAUUCCUCGCCGCUUUCUCAUCAUUGAAUAAAACACGCUUUAUAUUUGUUAUAGCAGAUACCGUUUCCCUGGUUACCAUCCACAAAGGCAUUUUCUUCCAUCUCUUUGUGCUGUCUCUUUAUUUCUAAAGGGUGAAGAAUACGAACAUUAUGAAAAGUUAAUUUCUGAAUUCCACGAGUCCCCGGCUCGCUGAUCUGAAAUCACAACAAGGCUCUGAAAAGGAUAUUAAAAUGCUGUGUUCUGUCGCUCAUCUAAAAGACAAAUGUUUUAGGUGCAUCUGUCCUUGGCGAAGCAAAAGGAAUUUGCCAAUAAAUAUUAUCCCACACUACUGCUUCAAAAACAGAUUUGUAUUACUUACGUACAGCUCUUCUGCUCGGAUUUUUUUCCCCCAGGUGCAAAAUAAUGAAAGCGUUCGAGUAUUUGAGCCAGACACUGAAAACUACUAAAAAACAAUUCUUUCACUUGUGAUCUUUCGUGUUUGGCCAUUGCCAUCAUUUAUUGCAUCGCGUGUUGUGUGAGAGUACCCGCAAUGGCAAAAAAAAAAAAAAAAAAAGGAUCAUGUAUCUGUUUAUUUCCUCAGUGACUCAGAUGUUUUGCUGUCUCUUUCCGUCCCUUUCCGUCUCCGCUAAAGGGGAAAGUGCCAUUUAGGCAGGUGUCACAUCCAUUAUUCAUGUCUCCACUCCACCAACAAAUUUCUUACCUGACACUUCACUUCAAUUAGCCCUGAAAAUGUCUCUCUUUUUUGUCGCUGUGUGUAUGUGAACUCAAAAGCACUCUGCAGAGCUCCGUUUUCAGCCGACCGAGCCUUUGGUCUGUCAAUCUCUUGUCUUGUGUAUUCAUGGCUUUGCAAACGUGUUUAAGUGCAGAGCAAUAGAACGAACGGCUAAAUCGAAUAAGGUACAGUCGAUUCACAGAGACAUGGUAAAAUGAAUCCACAAAGCCUGAAGUCUAAAGCAUCUUCAUUGAAAGCCAACAAGAGUAUGCAGUAUUGGACUUGAAUAAAGCUUAAUCUUUUCAACGGCUGAUUUAUUUUCUAAUAUUGAGCGGUAUACCUACAGCUCUUAAUCUGUUCUUUAGUAUUUUGAAGAAGAGCGUCAUACACAGAUGGGAGUGAAUGAAAAUCAAGGCACUUUUAAAACGUCGAGUGGCGCAGUGUAAUUUUCACUGACAUUAUACGGGAAAUAAGUGCUGUUAUUCCAUCAUUUCCAAUUUCCAGAAGAGGGGAUGACUUCAGGAAAAGUCUAAAAUACACGGAUGGAAAGGUUCUGGCUUGGUCAUCAGCACGUUCCUUAAAAUCCUGAGCUAUGACAAUCAAAGCCCAUGUAACACGCAUUCACUCUCCUUAAAACAGAGACAUCACAUUUUAUUUUUAUAACAAGCUGUAUCGUUCAGGUUAACAAACAACGACACAAAUAAUCCUUGCCACUCAUUUAAAACUAUAAAGAACAAUAUAUUAGGAACAAUAAUGAUCCAACACUGAACAAUAAAAGGUUACCCUGUGCAAAAAGGCAGCCUGCACGAAAUGUACAACAUGUUUGUAAAUUAAAAUGUAUCCAAAUCCUAAAAAAGAGAUAUAGGAGAAAUCCUAAAUAAUCUUUAUCGAAGGCAUAAUACCAACUACUGUACAUAAUUCUGGAUCUUUUUAGAUGUUUUCUCGCCUAAAUAAGACAAAAUACUGUAUAAGCUUCCAAGAAGUAGAAGAAAAAAUGUGUCAUGUCAAAAGUCUGAAGUUAAGUUAAUGACAUUAAUUAAAAACAUGAAAACACUGAAAUCUUUCUCUUUAACUUUCUAUGUAUUUCUUCACAGACAUUUAUAUAUACAUAAAAUACAAAAACUUUGUGAUCGACAUACAUACAAUCCUUAAGAAAUCAUACUAAUAUGCUGAUUUUCUGCUCA